ACGGGCUGCAAAAGCCCAAAAACAAACCUGAAAAGGAGCCGUAGAAACCCUAGUCUGUAAUCAAUAUAUAUUUGUUAAUCUCGAUAGUUUCUUUCUGCCACGUUCGUCCUAAUAUUAUUAAACCCUGAAAUCAACAGGGAAAGAGCAAAUGGCGACAGUUCCCGGACAGUUGAUCUGGGAGGUAGUUAAGAAGAACAAUUGUUUUCUGGUGAAGCAAUUUGGAAGAGGAACUGCUGGCCUUCAGUUCAGCAAAGAGCCGAACAAUAUGUACAACCUCAACUCCUACAAACAUUCUGGUAUUGAUGGGAUUUUGAUUUGAGGAUUUUGAUCUCAGGUUUAUUGGAAACUUGAUAUCGUAGUUAUUUUACUUUGCUUUCCUUACUCAUUUCGGUAAAAGCGAAAUGGAAACGAUGUUAUCUGCGUACGCAACUAAUUUUAUAGAUAAAUGCUUAAGAGUUGAUGGGAAAUGAUAAUUGAUGUAGAACUCAAACAAAGGUAGAAUAGUCCGGAUCUGAAAAGUUGAAUUUAUGACUUUUACAAGCUAUGAUGCCUAUUUGCCUAAUACAUUUUCUUUAAUCUUUUCCGUUACCAUUCAAAGCGGGGGCAAAAGAUCAGUAUGUGCUGCUAGCAACCACCAAGACUAAGAAGCAGAACAAGCCUUCCAGCUUGCUUCACAAGUCUGUCAUGAAAAAGGACUUCUCCAGUAUGGUCAAAGCAGUCAAAAACCAGGUGACAGACAACUACUACAGGCCUGAUUUAACAAAAGCAGCCCUUGGAAGGUUGAGCGCUGUGGACAGGAGUCUGAAGGUAGCCAAGUCUGGUGUCAAGAAGAGGAACAGGCAAGCAUUGAAGGUUCGUGGCAGAAAGUGAGCUAGACCUUUCAUGUUGUAUGUGCUCUGCUAUUUUCUCUACACCAGACAAUUUUUUACCUCUUUUUCGAAAUUGUCCUUUUUUUGU